UAUUCUCAAUGUCCCUUAAUCCACCUAGUACAAACUGGAGAAAAACAUUUCUUCUUUAUAAUGACUAAAAAUGUUAUAACGAAAUAGGGAGUUAACCAAGUGUUGCUGUAUCGUAGGUAACAAUACAGAACUGUUGUCAAACUUGUGGCAGUGCAGUACGGUGUGGAAUGACAGGCCUUUGUGACAUCGGGUUGUUAGUAUCACCUUGUGAACUGAUUUUGUAGAUUGAAACAGCCUGGGUUAGUUUGAGUUGUAACUCUCAUCACAGAGUUUGGAGAUUCUGUGCACAUCACUUUUCUUCCUUGUUUGUUACCCCAUCUGUCAGCCGGGAUGAAAAUUCUUGCCUGCCUUACUGGAGUGCAGUUAAGAUUAGGACUGAAGUUCAACCAAUUACCCAAGUAAUACUAAAUGAAGAUGGUUUCAAAGAGCCACAGAGUGAGAUCACAGCUGGGACUCCUGGAACAAAAAAUUCAGAACAAGCCUGCCAAACAUGUGUGUUUUCAAUCCAGGCUAGAAGAAAGGAAUCACUGUGAUAGCUAAAGGCAGCAAGUAUCUGUACACAGCACUGCUUUCAUCAUGCUCGCUCUGUCAGAACUUGUUUUGAUUUCUUUUCAUAUUCUGCUACGAAUAAAGGCUAU